UACAGAGGGGGCAAGCGUUGUUCGGAAUUACUGGGCGUAAAGGGCGCGUAGGUGGCCUUCUAAGUCGAACGUGAAAUCCCUGGGCUCAACCCAGGAACUGCGUCCGAUACUGGAAGGCUUGAAUCCGGGAGAGGGAUGCGGAAUUCCAGGUGUAGCGGUGAAAAUGCGUAGAUAUCUGGAGGAACACCGGUGGCGAAGGCGGCAUUCUGGACCAACACUGACGCUGAGGAGCGAAAGCCAGGGGAGCAAACGGG
rnacentral:rRNA from 1 species